rnacentral:rRNA from 1 species
GACAGAGGGGGCAAGCGUUGCUCGGAAUCACUGGGCGUAAAGGGCGCGUAGGCGGGACGGCAAGUCGGUCGUGAAAGCCCUCGGCUCAACCGAGGAGAGUCGGCCGAGACUGUCGUUCUUGAGGGAUGCAGAGGAGACUGGAAUUCCCGGUGUAGCGGUGAAAUGUGUAGAGAUCGGGAGGAACACCGGUGGCGAAGGCGGGUCUCUGGGCAUCUCCUGACGCUGAGGCGCGAAAGCUAGGGGAGCAAACGGG